UUAAGUGCUGCGUGAUUUUCAUUGAUAUUACAUUUGAGAAAGUUAACCGUAAAAAAUAAUUUGAAUAACUGGAAAUUCCGCGUCACGGUUAGUCGAACGUAGUAACAAUUUUUUUUAAAUAUACACCUUUUUUCAUCUCCCUUUCUUUUACGUAAGAGUACAGAAAUAGUAUGUCAUAAACGUUGUACGUGCAUUCGGAAACGUAGUUAUCGCUUGUGCUUUAUUUAUAACUACAUCCGAGGAAUUUUUAAUAAGAUAUAAAUGACGUGAAAAAAGGAAAGAAAAACGAACAUUUACCUACUCGUGAGGAAUACAAAAAUCGCCAAGAUUUCAUAAGAGGAUACGAUCAUCGCCCUAUAAAAACUGAUGAAUAAAGUGAAUGAGAAAAAAAAAGGAGAGUUCUAAAAGAAAUCGUUACAAUAAUAAAUCACAUGGUUACAAGACAAAAAUAAUGUUGAUAAUCCAUAUUCAAGUAAUCUCGUUACAAAUUAAACACGUUAUACACAUAUUACAUCUAAGUUAGGAUAGAUAAAAAUUAUUUUUCUAAGUAAUAAAAGCUGUACAUAGGUUCUAUUGUGUAAAUCUACACGAAGCAGAGGCGUUGGAAUCCAUUCUGUUACUCGACAAUAAGCGGUUGAGGAUGAAUAUAUUCAGUCCAUAUAAUUGCAAAGAUGCCAUCCGUGCCGUUCGUUACUACGUGUGAACAUACCACAGAAAUAACAGUAACGUCUGGAAAACUGUAUU
rnacentral:lncRNA from 1 species